AAAAUGGCAGAAUGAAAGAAUUAUGAGUGGGACUAGAGAAUAGGAAAAACAUGAACCAACAACUGAAAUGAGAAAGGAGGAGAUAUAAAAAGACACACACGUUAAAAAAAAAAUAGACUAAUGGAUUAAUGUCUCUGUUGUGUGACAUCUGUGA
rnacentral:lncRNA from 1 species